AUGAGUAAACAACUUUUUUUUUUGUUGAUAAAUUUGAGUUAAAGUUUUUAUUUUUAGUUGCACUCUGAGCCUGACAUCUGUUUUGGUGGCAGCCACCGUGUCCUCUAUGCCUUGUGUGUGCUAUCUCAGAUUGUCAAUGAUAGCAGGGUGUUACUUGGAGGCGGGUGGCCUGAAAUGGUAAUGGCAAAGGAAAUUGAUGCAUUGGAUAGAAAAACUCGAGGAAAGAAAUCUCUUACAAUGGAGGCAUUUACCCGGGCACUCUUGGCUAUCCCAACAACCAUUGCUGAUAAUGCUGGUUUGGACAGUGCUGAGUUGAUUUCUUAACUCCGUGUUGCGCACCAGAACGAGGGAUGUACUGCUGGAAUUGAUGUCGUCUCUGGUUCCGUUAGAGACAUGUUUGAACAGGGCAUUUGUGAAGCAUUCAAAGUCAAUCAGGCUGUGUUGCUAUCUGCAACAGAGGGAGCUGCUGAGAUGAUCCUUAGAGUCGAUGAUAUAAUAACAUGUGCUCCAAGGAGGAGAGAAGAAAGAAUAUUGUAAAAAUCUAGUGAUCACCCAACUUUCAGAUGCUUUGCCAUGCCUUGCAAAUUCUGACUUUUUCCAGAUGUUAGGUAGUUGGAUGUGCAACAUUAAGAUUGAAAAAGCAAAGAUUUCAUGCCCUUGUUGGUUUCAUGUGGGAUCAAAACCAUUGAUACAGAGAACUUUAGACGUAAGCUCUAAACAUGCAAGAGCUUGACACAAAAUUGAGCAUAACAUAGGUUGCGCCAGAGUUGAAGCAAAGAUAGGUUGUAGAUUUGUUAGUUAUCAUUUAUCUUGCGCCAAAGUUGCAUGUAACUUGACUUGUUUUUACAAGUAUUAACUAGUUCAAGAAGUAUCUUGAGUGAUCAUGAUGUACUAUGAAUUAUGACUGACUUGUUCUUUUCUUUUCACUGUCUGUUUUGGUCAUAUUAUUAAGCACAAGGAGCUGAGGUUACAAAUGAAGACCAUAGUGGUUUUGUUUAGGCAUAUUCAUGUAGAACAAAAAUAGGAUCUGGGGAAUAUCAUCAAGUCUCCAAAAUUCUUAUGUGAUAAUAAUUUAUUAUAAGUAAAACACGGCGCAAACAACCAUAGUUCUACUAGUACUGGUUCAAAAAUCUUGAAACUUAAUAUUAAAUAGAAAACAGUGCAUCAAUCCCUCUAUUUGUAAGAAUUUUCAAGAUUUAGCAACUACAUGGUGAAUUGUCAAAGCUAAAUCACAUCAUAUAUUAACACAGCAGUAAUCAUAAAUAUUUAAAAGGCACUCUGCAUUCCCUUGGAGUUAUUCUAUAUUACAAUGACCACAAAGCUAAUGAUCAGCAAUAAAAACUUCCUCGAGCCAUUUCGUUUUAUUGUUAAAACUUGUUUAUUUUUCUGCAUUUGACUAUAAAUGCUUGACUGUACUGGUCUGUCACUUGUCUUUCUUUGAAUGGUCAGCUGUUGAAGGAUCUGCUGCAUGUAUUUCUGUUGCUAAUAUAACACCAUUGCCUUUUUAUGUAGUGAAUUUUUGGCGGUUUCAGCGGAUUCAUUGGUUGUUGAGUCAUUAAUAGAGCUAUUGGAUAAUGAGAGUUUGAGGAAAGACACAACACAGCCUUCUCCUGAAUGGUCAUUAGAUCAUAUAGUUCUCUUAGUUGAGUUUCGCUGCUGCAAAAAUACACCCAGGCAAUGCAAUGACUCUUAACCGAUAAGGUACAUUAAGUUUGAUACAUUCACUCCCGCAGCAGAACGAGGGCUUCCUGUUACUAGAGUUAUUAGUCGAAUGGCUUUGCAAGAGAUUCUUGCUCAUGCAGACGGGGAUGAUGUCAAUAUGAAUGGUUGUAAUGUUGUCGAUUUCAUUGAUCAUGAAACUAAGGGCGGCCACAGAGACAUUUGCUCAUAAUUGGGUGGAGUGCAUUUGCGAACAAGAAAAAGCUAAUGGCUCUUUUCCAAGACCAGUUGGGUAUCUCCCUCGCCCUUAUAAGGCACCUUACUCACGUAGAGAAAGUAAUGAUUCUGUCAAUGAUGAAACAAGUGAGGGAAGUGUAGAAGAGGAAAGAAAGAUUAUGAGAGAUAAAAGUGAGGGCAGGGAAGAAUAGGAAAGAACGAUGAUAUGUACAUCUACUGCAGAUGAUAGGCACUAUUAGUUGCUUAAUGUUAACUGA